UCUUCGCAGGGGGUGGAGCUCCGUCCCCAAGCACCAAUUCCCACCGAGGGGUCAACGAUAACUCCUUCCAGACUUUCCCGGAAUUAUGCCUCUGAAAUCAGAUCCAGUGUUCCAAAAAUAAUGGCAUUUCUUAGAACCCGUGGCGUCUCAGAAUUGGUGAAAUAUGGUAUGUAACCUUGCAUUUUCAAACCAAUCCUCUUAAGACAGGUCUUAUUAUCAUGCUUGGUGUUUGCUGACUUAUCAUAAUAGUGCAGUCUCAUUAUGCUGGUCUGUCUUCUGUCUUUCCAUUAGAUUACAAACUCUAUGACCUACCAUAGUGCCUGUCACAUAGUAGGGAUGCAAUUAACAUUAAUUGAAAGAAUUACAGCAAUGGUCAUGCUCUUUAGCUGGAGAAACUGCUCCACUGUGAUUCUAAUUCUCAAUUUGGUUGUGUCUAUUUCCAGGACUGAUCUUGAAUCCUCUGAGCCAUCAACUGUUACUGUGAAAUACUGCUUGUUGGAAAGGUUUAAUUUCCUCUUCAGAAGUAGUCCCUUAGUAGCAUUUUUUUCCCUUGAGGAUUGAUUAGGAUGACCAAAAUUAAAUCUCUUUAUAUAUGUAAUAUCCAAAUACAUUCUGCUGUCUAGUUUCACAUCUCAA